rnacentral:tRNA from 1 species
GGAGAGGUGCAGGAGUGGCUGAACUGGCGCGCCUGGAAAGCGUGUGUACCGGAGACGGUACCGGGGGUUCGAAUCCCCCUCUCUCCG